rnacentral:tmRNA from 1 species
GGGGUUGUCAAGGUUUCGACAGGGAACAUGAACCUUUAGAAGCUAUCCGGAGGCGGAGCACGUCACGCAGCAACAAAAAAUAAGCGAUAACAGAAGUUACGCAUUAGCAGCCUAGUCUGCUUCGUUUACCUCUAUUCACCUGUAGAUAGAGAGUAGGCGUCAAUUAUACAGGAAACGGUGAAGUAGAGCCUCGAUGCUUCAUACGUAUAAGAGGAUAGAAAGAUAUAAGACUUGUUUAUUGAACUUAUAUCAAUCGAAAUCCGAUCAAUAAACUAUGAUAGUAGAAGGAGAGCGGAUUGUUUUCUGGAAAGGGGUUCGAUUCCCCUCAGCUCCAU